ensembl:lncRNA
GCACAGCAAACAGUUCAAUAGUUUAAGCAUAUUUUGCAGGACUAUUAUUAACAUAUUGUUUCAGAAUAUAAAAUAUAAUAUAUAUAUAUGCAUAUACAUAUACUGUAUAUAUACUGUAUAUGUCUUAAGUGGGAUAGCAAUAAGUGACAGAGUUGACAAGGAACUGACGGAGGUGACGGAGGUGACGGAACUGACGGAGGUGACGGAACUGACGGAGGUGACGGAACUGACGGAGGUGACGGAACUGACGGAGGUGACGGAACUGACGGAGGUGACGGAACUGACGGAGGUGACGGAGGUGACGGAACUGACGGAGGUGACGGAACUGACGGAGGUGACGGAACUGACGGAGGUGACGGAAGUGACAGAACUGACGGAACUGACGGCGAUGACGGAACUGACGGAACUGACGGAGGUGACGGAACUGACGGAACUGACGGAACUGACGGAGGUGACGGAAAUGACGGAGGUGACGGAACUGAUGGAGAUGACGGAAGUGACGGAACUGACGGAGGUGACGGAACUGACGGAAGUGAUGGAACUGACGGAGGUGACGGAAAUGACGGAGGUGACGGAACUGAUGGAGAUGACGGAAGUGACGGAACUGACGGAGGUGACGGAACUGACGGAGGUGACGGAACUGACGGAGGUGACGGAGGUGACGGAACUGACGGAGGUGACGGAACUGACGGAGGUGACGGAACUCACGGAGGUGACGGAACUGACGGAGGUGACGGAACUGACGGAACUGACGGAGGUGACGGAACUGACGGAGAUGACGGAACUGACGGAGAUGACGGAGGUGACGGAACUGACGGAACUGACGGAGGUGACGGAACUGACGGAGGUGACGGAACUGACGGAGGUGACGGAAGUGACAGAACUGACGGAACUGACGGAGGUGACGGAACUGACGGAACUGACGGAGGUGACGGAACUGACGGAAGUGACGGAACUGACGGAGGUGACGGAAAUGACGGAGGUGACGGAACUGAUGGAGGUGACGGAAGUGACGGAACUGACGGAGGUGACGGAGGUGACGGAACUGACGGAGGUGACGGAACUGACGGAGGUGACGGAACUGACGGAGGUGACAGGUGACGGAACUGACGGAACUGACGGAACUGACGGAGGUGACGGAGGUGACGGAACUGACAGAGGUGACGGAGGUGACAACUCAAAACAGACAUUUAUUUGUCGAUUAAAACAACAAAAAAGUUCAAUACAAAAAUGUGUAAAAUUAUUUUGUUUGAAAAAUCCCUCAAUAACAUGAUCAGAUCAAUAACAUGAUCAGAUCUUUCAGAUUUUCUGACAGAGUUGAUGUUGUACUAAUUGCAUAUUUUUUACUAAUUUAGUCAAGUGGUAUACUACGUAGCAAUUUUGUUUUUUGCUCAAUUGCUUUUUUUGGCUCUAAAACCUAAUUAAAUUUAACAUAUUCUACAUUAAUUUUAUACCUUUAUUUAACUAGGCAAGUCAGUUAAGAACAAAUUCUUAUUUUCAAUGACGGCCUAAGAACUGCAGUUUCAGGGGCAGAACGACAGCUCAGGGAUUUGAACUUUGCAACCUUCCGGUUACUAGUCCAACGCUCUAACCACUAGGCUACCCUGCCGCCCCAUCUAUAAUCUAUAAGGUAGAUGGAGUUGACUGGUUGUGACCAUGGGGGGGGGAUCAAUAAUAUUUGUUUAAUGUAGCUGCCCAUUCUCGUUCCUGAAUAAUUUGAGUUGACCAAAACUCCAAACAGUUCUGAGAUAAAUAUUCCUUGACGUCAGAGAAGGGACAUGAUAUCCUACUUCAGUUAAUAUCCAUUAUUCUCAGUUUGUUGGAAAUGGAAAUUAAUAAUAUUGAAAAUAUUUAGGAAAAUUACCCUGAAUAAAAAUAUUUUUCCUCAUAAAAUUCCCCUAAAUGUAAUUUUUUUAGCCUAGUGGUUAGAGCGUUGGACUAGUAACCAGAAGGUUGCAAGUUCAAACCCACGAGCUGACAAGGUACAAAUCUGUUGUUCUGCCCCUGAACAGGCAGUUAACCCACUGUUCCUAGGCCGGCAUUGAAAAUACUAGUUAAAUAAAGGUUAACUAAAAAAAAAUGUUUAAAAAAAUAAAUAAUAGAUUGUCCUGACUUUCAAGAAUCCCUGAAUGACAUUCUGAGUGUAUCUAAGGGUCAGGGGACAGGCUAGAAGAGACGUGUCUAAGGGUCAGGGGACAGGCUAGAAGAGAAGUGUCUAAGGGUCAGGGGACAGGCUAGAAGAGAAGUGUCUAAGGGUCAGGGGACAGGCUAGAAGAGAAGUGUCUAAGGGUCAGGGGACAGGCUAGAAGAGACGUGUCUAAGGGUCAGGGGUCAGUUUGGGACAGGGUGCCUCUCUCUCUCUUGUGCUUCUGUGACUUUAUUCUUCUAUUUCCAUCGGAUGAGACAACAACAACAGCAAAAAGGUUCCAGUUUCUCGUGGAAUGCCGCUCUAUACUGAACGUAACGUAGUGUGUUCAUCUUCUCUCUCUCUCCUUCCAAAUCAUGUUUUACUGGAAGUUGAAAUAACAUUAUAGAGAUCAUUUUACAUAGGAAGUUAAAAAAUGCCUAAACGUUACUAAAUGUCCUGUAAAAUAUGUAAUGGUUGUUAUUAUUAUUAUUAGUUGUUGAUUAUUGGCAUCAGAAGUCGGAAGGGAGUCGGUACAAUUAUAGAAAUAGGAUGACUAGAACGGAGGUGCCAUUCAAGUCGAUGGGUCCAAGAGGUGGACUGGCGGCCAUGAUUCUAUUUCUAUGGGAACAAUGUAUCUGUAUUGUAAGCUUCUGUUCUAUCCUUCCUGUUUCCAUGGAUUCCCCCUUCCUGUUCCCCUCCUUCCUGUUUCCUGUUCCCCCCCACAAAAAAAACUUUCUUUGCACUUCCAUUUUGUUUUGCAUAUUGUAAAUAUCUCUGUACAUUAUUUAUUCGCAGUCUUUAUGUAAUAAUGGUGAAUGACAGUUUAAAAGUGACAAUCAUCUUUUAUGGGUUUGUUGAUUUGAUUAUGUUGUUGUUGCUGUUGUUUUUUUUGUCAUUAUUGUACGAUGGAUAAAUUACACUGUAAAAAGCAUAUAAAUGUAUCUGCAGUAUAAAAAAACAAAAGAUUGUUGGAGGUGUGGUUGUUUUUUUUCUCCAGUUUUCAGACGAG